GUCGGGACAAGCUUCGGCCGGUGCCAAAGCUUGGCGUCGAGU
rnacentral:sRNA from 1 species